GAGAAACUAGACAAAGGGGGUGCCAGGGACAUAAGCAGUCACUGGGUGCAAACUUACUAGACUCAUAAAGGAUGAUCAGAAAGUGUAGAGUUUUAUAAUGUGUGGAUUCAUGUACCUACCACCACAGUGAAGACAGAGAUCUACUGUAAACCUGGCAUGAGGAUGCUGCCUGUCAUCCCAGUACUUGCCAGGUUUAAGAGUCCCACAAAGAUGCCAGUGCCCCCAGACGACAGGAAGCAGUCUAGAGAAUACAAUGCCCACAUUCCCCAGAAGUUGCCUGUUCCUGGUACAAUAGUACUUGGUACUGAGUGGUUGCUCAGUAAAUCACAGCUGACAGAAUGGCUGUAGUUGUCGAGAAAUGGCUUCUGAGAAAUGCUGCUUAAUAUGAGACCCAAAGAUGGAGUCAGGCAAAGGUAUUGGAGCAGGAGACCUUUCCAGAAGAGACUAAGAUCUUGUGGCAGUAAGGAUUCUACAGAUAUCAAUAUUGGAGUUGGAGGAGAGAUGGCUCAGAGGCAAGUGCUUGGCGGGCAAGCAUGAGGACCCGGGUUCUAUCACAGCACCCAGAGUUUUAUGACUGUUAUGACAAAGUGUCACAAGCUGGUUGGCUUCAGACAGUAGAAAUUGAUGGUGUCACAGUUCUGGAGAGGAGAAAUAUAAAAUCAGGAUGUCAUCAGGGAAGAGAGUGGUAUCAACAGAGUGGCAGAAGCAGGAGACGCCAAUCUUCAUCUCUCUCCAGAAAACAAAAGAGACAUUGCGAAGGAUGAACAGACAGCCCAUGAAGUGUAAAAAAAAAGUGUUCACAAUGGAUACACUCAACAAAGGACUCACAUUCAGAAUAUAUAAGGAAGCAAAGAACCCAGCUGGGCAUGGUGUGGUGUCUGCCGAGAACUCCAGCACUUGGGAGGGUCAACUGCUCUCCUCUGCCUUGAGCUCCUCCACCAUGAUAUACUUCCAAUGAUCAAGUUAAGUAACCAUGCAUUGAACCCUCUGAAAUGAGCUGACUCAAGUCCAUCACUCUGAUUUUUUCAUCAUCCUCUAAGUUGGACUUCCUCCACAUCCAACUCUUCGCUUCCAGUGACUGCUGCAAACCCUCCUGGGGACAACAUGGUUCCUCAAGAGCAAACAUACAGCUCAAGAUAGCCGGUCCAUUCCAUGCUAUAUUUUGAGUUUACUGGGUUCAGAUAGGAAUGCUCAAAAGUCAUGUGUCUUCUCAGGCUGGCCCUUCUUCCAUCGAAGGACCAAAGAAGGAUCUGCUCUCAUUUCCUAGGGGUGUGUAGUAGGCACUGCUAACUCCUAUGUAGCCAGAGACUUCUUCAUUGUUCUAUCAUUAUCACCCAAAGGAGGAAGGAAAGUUUGACCACUCUCCCUGACAGUAAUUAAAGAGUGACCUACCAUGUUUGGAAUGUA